rnacentral:rRNA from 1 species
UAAGCGACUAAGCGUACACGGUGGAUGCCCUGGCAGUCAGAGGCGAUGAAGGACGUGCUAAUCUGCGAUAAGCGUCGGUAAGGUGAUAUGAACCGUUAUAACCGGCGAUUUCCGAAUGGGGAAACCCAGUGUGAUUCGUCACACUAUCAUUAACUGAAUCCAUAGGUUAAUGAGGCGAACCGGGGGAACUGAAACAUCUAAGUACCCCGAGGAAAAGAAAUCAACCGAGAUUCCCCAGUAGCGGCGAGCGAACGGGGAGCAGCCCAGAGCCUGAAUCAGUGUGUGUGUUAGUGGAAGCGUCUGGAAAGGCGCGCGAUACAGGGUGACAGCCCCGUACACAAAAAUGCACAUGCUGUGAGCUCGAUGAGUAGGGCGGGACACGUGGUAUCCUGUCUGAAUAUGGGGGGACCAUCCUCCAAGGCUAAAUACUCCUGACUGACCGAUAGUGAACCAGUACCGUGAGGGAAAGGCGAAAAGAACCCCGGCGAGGGGAGUGAAAAAGAACCUGAAACCGUGUACGUACAAGCAGUGGGAGCACAGAGCAAUCUGUGUGACUGCGUACCUUUUGUAUAAUGGGUCAGCGACUUAUAUUCUGUAGCAAGGUUAACCGAAUAGGGGAGCCGAAGGGAAACCGAGUCUUAACUGGGCGUUAAGUUGCAGGGUAUAGACCCGAAACCCGGUGAUCUAGCCAUGGGCAGGUUGAAGGUUGGGUAACACUAACUGGAGGACCGAACCGACUAAUGUUGAAAAAUUAGCGGAUGACUUGUGGCUGGGGGUGAAAGGCCAAUCAAACCGGGAGAUAGCUGGUUCUCCCCGAAAGCUAUUUAGGUAGCGCCUCGUGAAUUCAUCUCCGGGGGUAGAGCACUGUUUCGGCAAGGGGGUCAUCCCGACUUACCAACCCGAUGCAAACUGCGAAUACCGGAGAAUGUUAUCACGGGAGACACACGGCGGGUGCUAACGUCCGUCGUGAAGAGGGAAACAACCCAGACCGCCAGCUAAGGUCCCAAAGUCAUGGUUAAGUGGGAAACGAUGUGGGAAGGCCCAGACAGCCACGAUGUUGGCUUAGAAGCAGCCAUCAUUUAAAGAAAGCGUAAUAGCUCACUGGUCGAGUCGGCCUGCGCGGAAGAUGUAACGGGGCUAAACCAUGCACCGAAGCUGCGGCAGCGACGCUUAUGCGUUGUUGGGUAGGGGAGCGUUCUGUAAGCCUGUGAAGGUGUACUGUGAGGUAUGCUGGAGGUAUCAGAAGUGCGAAUGCUGACAUAAGUAACGAUAAAGCGGGUGAAAAGCCCGCUCGCCGGAAGACCAAGGGUUCCUGUCCAACGUUAAUCGGGGCAGGGUGAGUCGACCCCUAAGGCGAGGCCGAAAGGCGUAGUCGAUGGGAAACAGGUUAAUAUUCCUGUACUUGGUGUUACUGCGAAGGGGGGACGGAGAAGGCUAUGUUGGCCGGGCGACGGUUGUCCCGGUUUAAGCGUGUAGGCUGGUUUUCCAGGCAAAUCCGGAAAAUCAAGGCUGAGGCGUGAUGACGAGGCACUACGGUGCUGAAGCAACAAAUGCCCUGCUUCCAGGAAAAGCCUCUAAGCAUCAGGUAACAUCAAAUCGUACCCCAAACCGACACAGGUGGUCAGGUAGAGAAUACCAAGGCGCUUGAGAGAACUCGGGUGAAGGAACUAGGCAAAAUGGUGCCGUAACUUCGGGAGAAGGCACGCUGAUAUGUAGGUGAAGCGACUUGCUCGUGGAGCUGAAAUCAGUCGAAGAUACCAGCUGGCUGCAACUGUUUAUUAAAAACACAGCACUGUGCAAACACGAAAGUGGACGUAUACGGUGUGACGCCUGCCCGGUGCCGGAAGGUUAAUUGAUGGGGUCAGCGCAAGCGAAGCUCUUGAUCGAAGCCCCGGUAAACGGCGGCCGUAACUAUAACGGUCCUAAGGUAGCGAAAUUCCUUGUCGGGUAAGUUCCGACCUGCACGAAUGGCGUAAUGAUGGCCAGGCUGUCUCCACCCGAGACUCAGUGAAAUUGAACUCGCUGUGAAGAUGCAGUGUACCCGCGGCAAGACGGAAAGACCCCGUGAACCUUUACUAUAGCUUGACACUGAACAUUGAGCCUUGAUGUGUAGGAUAGGUGGGAGGCUUUGAAGUGUGGACGCCAGUCUGCAUGGAGCCGACCUUGAAAUACCACCCUUUAAUGUUUGAUGUUCUAACGUGGACCCGUAAUCCGGGUUGCGGACAGUGUCUGGUGGGUAGUUUGACUGGGGCGGUCUCCUCCUAAAGAGUAACGGAGGAGCACGAAGGUUGGCUAAUCCUGGUCGGACAUCAGGAGGUUAGUGCAAUGGCAUAAGCCAGCUUGACUGCGAGCGUGACGGCGCGAGCAGGUGCGAAAGCAGGUCAUAGUGAUCCGGUGGUUCUGAAUGGAAGGGCCAUCGCUCAACGGAUAAAAGGUACUCCGGGGAUAACAGGCUGAUACCGCCCAAGAGUUCAUAUCGACGGCGGUGUUUGGCACCUCGAUGUCGGCUCAUCACAUCCUGGGGCUGAAGUAGGUCCCAAGGGUAUGGCUGUUCGCCAUUUAAAGUGGUACGCGAGCUGGGUUUAGAACGUCGUGAGACAGUUCGGUCCCUAUCUGCCGUGGGCGCUGGAGAACUGAGGGGGGCUGCUCCUAGUACGAGAGGACCGGAGUGGACGCAUCACUGGUGUUCGGGUUGUCAUGCCAAUGGCACUGCCCGGUAGCUAAAUGCGGAAGAGAUAAGUGCUGAAAGCAUCUAAGCACGAAACUUGCCCCGAGAUGAGUUCUCCCUGACUCCUUGAGAGUCCUGAAGGAACGUUGAAGACGACGACGUUGAUAGGCCGGGUGUGUAAGCGCAGCGAUGCGUUGAGCUAACCGGUACUAAUGAACCGUGAGGCUUAACCU